CGAAUUCUUCAAAUUGGAUAUUUUUUACGCUUAUGGAGGUGAUUCGGGGACAUCUUGUUGAAUUUCUGAGCUACGUUCACUUACUCCCUUACCUGCGACUCUUUUGAAACUUAAAAACAUUUUGUAACCGUUUACGUUUAAAUCCUUUCCACCGUUUGUUUGAGAGGGCCGCCUCCCUACCUCCAGCCACAUGUGCAAGCAGCAGCAUUGUAAAAGGAAACAGCGGGAGAUUUUAAGUAGAAUGAAGAAUAAGGGCGAAGCAUUAAUGAAGCAAUUUUGUUUUUAGUGCCCAUACAUUUUAGGCGGGAUUUUGAGUGAGAUUCAGCGAGAGAUUUUAGUCAAGGAAGAAGUCGUGAGGAUAAGGGAUAGGACCCCCCCAAAAAAGUCCAUUUAUGACUUAUGAGAAGGUGGAAGUUACUAGAAAGAAGAACAGGUAGAGACAGAGGAUGAGCAGCAAGGAGCAAAGAGAGUCAAAGAGGAAGAGGCGUAAGGCUGGAUGAGCAGAAAAGGAGGAGGCUGCCAAUCUCACAGUUAUGUUUUGAUCUUCUGUGCAGCUUGAGAAUAUGUGCGCCAAGUCCACGAUUGGCAAGGAUUAAGAGGGGAAUCAAUAACAUUGACGCUGAAGAAGUUAACACAACAGUACUUCUUGAAGACUAUUUGGAUUCUUCUCUGUUAUCAAUAGCAGUCUCAAAAUAUGCAGCAAGUGAGUCUAUUUUGGGGAAAAGUAAAAUUAUUCAGUCCUUUGAAUGGCCAACUGAGCAGCUCGAGCCAAUGAAUUCUAUUGAGAUAGUUAGCAGUGAAUGGCAACGCUGUAGUGAAUGGCAAAGCUGCAGCAGUGAAAAUAAUGACAUAGGACUUGAAUGUUCAGAGAAUUAUGAUGUUAAAUCCACUGAUUUCCACACAUUUGAUCGGAUCACAAAGCUCUUUAAAAUGUAAGGUCAUGGCAUCUGAUUUGAUUUGUUAGUCCUGUAAAUAUUUCGAUUCAUUCUUUAAGACCAUAACAGAAUUAUAUUUUAUAGUAUUCUAUUGUAAAUGUAUUCGUCCAUGAAAACUAUUCCUGUAUAUAAUAGUCCCCUCUAAAGUAGGCUAAACAAAUAGGACUGCAGCAUUCAUCUUUUCUUUUCUUAAAGCAAUAGCAUUGACAGUCAUGAAUAUAGAAUGAGCCCAAUCCACAACAUAGUGGGGCAUAACUUUUGCCAUUCUAUGGGUUUCUUUGCUUUCUUUCAUCUAUAAUGGCAAUUUGGUGACAUUUUAA